GAAGAGAAGAGUGCAUUUGAUGUAUCAGUGGAGGGUUCUGUUUCAGACAUGAGUGGGCCAGAUCACUAGACAUUGUCACUGCCUCUCUUGGCCCCAAAGAGACCCUGAGACAAAGAUUUCAGGGUUUGCCCGCAGGUUCCGGGAGCUGCUUUGUCCAAACGUGCAGAAGUGACAGUGCUGGGCUCACAACUGUGAGGCGAACCUCACACUGCAGAGUUGCCCUGUGAGCGGAGACUGAAGGUACCGUGCGUGGUACCGAGAGCCCACCUUGCUUGGCUGCUCCCUUCCCUGUCCUACAUCCUCCACCUCCCAACUUUUUUCUCCUGGAAGCACGUCUCUAAUAAAUCACUUACACGUG